rnacentral:rRNA from 1 species
CUCAUGCCCUUAUGACCCUGGGCUACACACGUGCUACAAUGGUUGGUACAACGAGAUGCAAUCUCGCAAGAGCAAGCAAACCUCAAAAAGCCAUCCUCAGUUCGGAUUGGAGUCUGCAACUCGACUCCAUGAAGUCGGAAUCGCUAGUAAUCGCGGAUCAGCACGCCGCGGUGAAUACGUUCCCGGGCCUU